UUCAAGACCCACCUUUUGCAUUUUUACUUUUUUUCUCUUUCAAUUGGCGUUUUUUUUAUAAUCUAUCUAUUCCCUCGGUUGGGAGUUCCAACCAAGAGGAAAUAUCAUAUUUGUACUCCAUAUGACGCUUUUCUCUCUCUUUUUUAAUUUUUUUUAUAUAUUAUCUCAAUUGGAUGGUCUAACCAAGAGAAAAUAUAUUUUGCAUAUAUUUCCAAAAAGUAGACUCUAG
rnacentral:lncRNA from 1 species